AUGAUGAGCAUCUAUUGGAGUCGAUCAUUUCCAAGAUCUAAUUCUAGUUUCUUAUUAUGUAGUGGAAAUGCCUCACAAUCUUCAGUUUUACGCUUACGCUUAAGGGAAGAAAUGUUCUUAGUGGAUGUAGGCCCUGGUACCCCCAAAAUUUGUACGCAAGAUGAGCUUACAAGACUGCCAAUCAAGCGAGCCACCAUGUUUGAGAAUAAGGUGGGAUCCAAGGAUGUAGUGGCUGGUGAAUCACUGAUCAAAAAGCGGAUUUUUGAGAGAUUCUUCAUCGAUCUAGUGGACGGUGAAUCACUGAUCAAAGAGCGAGCAGCCGCCAGGUUUAAUGAUUAUGUGGGAUCCCUGGAUGUAACGGCUGGCAAACCGCUUCUUCCUCCACAAAGAUUCAGACAAAACCGAGCUUGGAUAGAACUGAAGAAGAUUUGGCGAAGGAAGAAAAAGGUAAAAGGGUUUAUUAUAAAAAAGUCAAAGGAGGUUAUUCAGUAG
rnacentral:rRNA from 1 species